UUCACAAAUAGCAAGUAUGGAGUAUCUAACCUCGUUGGACCUAUCAAAUAACAACAUAAAAGGUUCAAUUCCCGGUGAGAUCACUAUGUUAUCUCGACUUGAUUAUCUAAAUCUUUCCUCUAACAAACUUUCUGGGCCAAUACCAUUUUCAAAUGAACAACUCUCAAGCAUGCAUUCCGUAAGCCUCUCUCCUAACAAGGGUUUAUGCGGCGGCAAUUUUCUUCAUCUUCCUUCAUGCGAUACAACCAAACCUACCACUCUCUUUGUUGAAAUUUUUCUUCCCCUCGCCAUAGUUCCCUCAGUUAUAGUCUUUGCAUGCUUACUAGUCGUCAAACGUAAGUACAAGAAACCCAAAGUCAAGGCAAGAGCAACCAAUAGCAUAGAUGUAUUUUCAAUAUGGAAUUAUGAUGGUAGAAUUGUCUACGAGGAUCUGAUUGAAGCCACGGAAGAUUUUGACAUUAAAUAUUGCAUUGGUACCGGGGCUAUGGCAGCGUCUACAAGGCACAGCUUCCCAACGGCAAGGUAUUUGCAUUGAAAAAGCUUCACACUUCAGAAACAGAGGAAUUGGCAUUCAUCAAGAGUUUCCGAAACGAGGCUCAAGUACUUUCUCAAGUACUGCACCGUAAUAUUGUCAAAUUAUACGGUUUUUGCUUGCACAGAAAAUGCAUGUUUCUCAUUUACGAGUACAUGGAGAGAGGAAGCUUAUUCUGCAUUUUACACAAUGAUGAUGAAGCCGUAGAGUUGGAUUGGGCUAAGAGGGUGAACAUUGUAAAAGCCAUGGCACAUGCUUUGGCAUACUUGCAUCAUGACUGCUCACCAUCAAUUGUUCACCGCGACAUAUCGAGCAACAACAUUCUACUUAACUCAAAAUUGGAGGCAUUUGUUGCUGACUUUGGCACUGCCAGGCUUCUAUAUGCUGAUUCGCCCAAUCAAACUCUUUUAGCAGGAACAUAUGGAUAUAUAGCUCCAGGUUUACCCUUAUGAUAUCUAUUCUUCUCAUGAUCGAUCCUUUAUUUGGUUCAAUUUUAUUUUUUUUCCUUUAUAUUGCAGUCAUAUCAGUAACAUCUCUCUUAAAUAGAUAGCCAGCUGGCUAGAGAAACUCACAAAUGGAAUUAUCUCCUUUAUUAGUGGGAAGCUACAUUCUAUGAUUACUUUGCCUCGUAUAAGUCUUUUUUUUUUCUUUUUUUUUCUUUCUGCAGAACUUGCUUACACCAUGGUUAUGACGGAGAAAUGUGAUGUUUAUAGCUUUGGAGUAGUGACACUUGAAGUAUUAAUGGGAAAGCAUCCAAGGGACCUUCUUUCAUCAUUAUCAUCAUCAUCUGAUCCAAAGAUCAUGCUGAUUGAUAUUUUAGACCAACGUCUUCCACCUCCAGUUGAUCGAAAGGUUAUUCGAGAUAUCCUUCUUGUUUCAACAGUUUCAUUUGCAUGCUUGCAAUCAAACCCAAAGUCUCGACCUACAAUGCAGUCCCUAUCUCAAGAAUUUCUCAUCACUCGCAAGACUCCAUGGGUAAAGCAUGCUGCUAUUCAAGAUAUUUCCAUCUCACAACUUAGAAACUAAUAAAAGGAUGUAUUUGAUUGAUCAAUGUGAUUUGCUAAUCUUAAAUGUAUUUCAUUGAUGGUAUUUUGCUAAUCUUAAACCAACUUGGAGAGGUUGCACUUAUGUAAUAUCUCAAAAAAAAAAAAAGGAUAAUUGUUGUUGACACCAAAAGUAGUCUCUACUUCAAUCUUUGGAAAAUUUUGAUACAAGUUCUCAAUUUUCCACAAGAUAAUUGUUGUUGGUGGUGUCUGGCUCGUUUUAGAAAUUGUUAGAAAUUGUAUAACCGUACCAUAACAACUUGAGUCAUGAAUGGAAGACCGUUGAUUUGUACAUGGAAUUAUGGAUUAAUAAAAGUCUGUGUGGCUCCAAAACCAUUUUUUUUUAUUAUUUGAUUAUUUUUAUCGGCAGAAUGACACAAAAUAUAAAUUUAUAGGGUAGAAAAUAACAAAACAAAUAAAAAUAUUAUAGUACUAAUUAUUUUACAAUGGUAAUUCUGUCAAUUUGAUAGAUAAUUGAUACAAAUAGUAAACUUAAGGUGAAAAAUAAAAAAUUAAAUAAAUUUAAAUUUUCAAAGUAUUUUUUCUGUGUGAAUUGCAAGUGCAAAUAAGGUCAGCAAGUUUUGCUAUUGUGCUUAGGAAAUCUUCUUCCAUCCACAUUAUUUUUAUAAAUUAAUAUCGUGUGCAAUAAUUGUUGUAACUCAUGAGUUCUCCGAACUGUAAAUCAAAGUGGGAAUAUUCCCAUAUUGUGGCAUGACAUGGGCUUUUCUUCUCAAUCAAAUUUAAAAAAAAAAAAAAUUGGAUUCUCUAUUUCACUAUUUAAUUAAGUAGACUGCAGAUAUAAAUGUAGACAAAUUAUUAGCCUUACUUCACAGAAGUUUCAUUGCUUGUCGUUUUGCAUUCGCACAUUAGAGUGAUCAAUUGAAUUGGAACCGCAGUGUUGAAGUUGAUAUGGUAAAAGCGAAAAUGACUAGAUGUUCCGCAAAGUCUAAAAUUCAAGAAAUUGAAGCACCAAUCAAGUGAUCAAAUUCUGUCAUGUAAUUAAUUAUCAUCAGUUGGCUUGAAGGUCAUCAAGAAGGUAUUGGAUUGACAAAUUAAAUUACAUUGCCCUUUCAUUUCAUAAAUGGUAAAGAAAUAUAAUAUAAGACUUAGGUCAUGUUCAGUAUUUAGGUAUUGUAAUUUCUAAGUUAUAAUUAUUGUGAAACAAAAGCUGUAACGAUAAAUUAAAAGGUGGGAGUGUAUAAUCAAUAUAACUUUUAACUAAUAAUUUUGACAAAAAAAAAUUAUAAAAAUAUUAUAGGCUUCUCAUCAUAUAAGUGUGGGAUCAAAUCAACUUAACUUUUAUACCACAAUUGACAUUACUUACUAUAUAAUUUUGUGGUAUAACUUAAAAAAUUAUAACUACCUAACAUCGAUACCAAACAAGACCUUAGUCUGCAAGCAUCUAUCAUUCCUUCCUUGUUUUAAAAUACUAGUCGUAUUAAGUCGUGAACUUGAAAUCAAUCUAACGGUACAAAGUUUUUUCCAAGUUCCAUUAGCACCAAAUUUUCCUUUGCUUCCUCUGUUUCCUCAGCUAAACGCCACUAAAGAUAUCAAAAUUAUUGCUUGUUUGUUUAUGGAUUUUAGCUAUCGGUAUGAUACAUCCGCUGAGACCUCGGGUGCAUUUUUUCCUGCUCAAAUACCGAAUAGUCACUAACCAACCAAUAUGAAUUCUUGAAAAAGAACCAUAAAAAAAAAAUGAUUCUUUUAUUCAUAUUUCUCCAGAGAGAAAGAAGAAACAAUAAUUAAGAGCUGAAAUUAAGAAAAAAAACAAGAAUCUUUUGGAUUAAACGAACUUGGAAAGAAGCUACACUUGUAGACAAAUUAUAUGGCCCCGAAAGACCUUGACUCCAAAAGAAAUCUACUUCAAUCUUUGAAAAAUUUUGAUACAAGUUCUAAAUUUUCCACAAGAUAUCCCAAAAUGUAAUUUUCAAACAAUUGCUGUCGCUCAUUUUAGACGUUUAGGAAUUGUUAGAACUUGUAUAAGGACAAUGACUUGACUCAUGAAUAAAAGACCAUCGAUAGAUUAAUAAAAGUCUGCGUGUGGCUCCAAAAAAAUAAAAAUUAUAUAUACAUAUAUAUAUAUAUAUUAAAGCAAAAGAAAAUGUGUAAUUUUUGGUGGAUUAUUUUUAUUUUAUAAAUAAAUUUAAUGUAUAAAUAAAUUAAAUCGCAAAAAUGAAAAAAUACUGUUGGAUAAAAUAUAAUUACCAAAGUGCAGAUUUAUGAGACCAUGAUGGAAUGGAUAUUUUACAUUUAGAUGAAAAAUUAGGGGUAUUAUUGGUAUUAAGAGUUAGGUAUCUAAACAAAUCCGUUGAAGAUGUGCGCGGAGUGAUGUAACAGGAAUUAAAAACGUGACAGUUGACAGUUACCAACUGAUUGAAACUAUUAAAAUGACUCAUUUAUAACUGAAAAUGGCCGCUCAACUAAUUUGAUAACAAACCAUGGUUAUCAAAUUAUAUAGCCCGGAAAUCUACUUCAAUCUUUGGAAAAUUUUUAUACAAGUUCUAAUUUUUCCACAAGAUAUCCCAAAAUGUAAUUAAUAAAAGUCUGUGCCGCUCCCAAAACCAAUUUUUACUGAUUAUUUGAUUACUUUUAUUGCCAGAAUGACACAAAUUACAAAUUUAUAGGGUAGAAAAUAACAAAACAGAAGCAAAAUAUAUAUAUAUAUAUAUUAUAGCACUAGUUAUUUUACAAGGGUAAUUCUGUCAAUUUGAUUGAUAAUUGAUACAAUAAAGUUAAGGUGAAAAAUUAAAAAAAUUAAAAUUUUUGAAGUAUCUUUUACAAUAAAGCAAGCUUAAGGUCGAUAAUCGAUAAUUUUCCUAUCAUUGCUAACUUAUGUUUUGGUAAUUUUAGAAGUUACGUCGCAGUGCAUCAUGCGCCAACUUUUGCUUCAAUUGAGGCAUUAAAUAUUUUUUAUUAUUAUUUAAUUUUUACUAUAAAACAAUGGCCCAACACUCGGCAUGUCAAAAACAAAAACGGUUCACGUUCUUGGACACACGCUGGUGCCGCAUCAGUUGGGUCAUUGCAUUUCGAGUCUUUGGUAGACAUUAUUCGUUUAUGCUGGGGCCAGUUUUUCAUUUAACUACAAAAUUACUUUUAUGGAAACCCAUAAAAUAAUUUUGUUUAUUAAUUAAUUAUAUUACAUUUUCAACGAUUAUCAAAUUCUCAUUCGAGUUCAUUAUUUAAGUGGCAAUGCGUUAUCUAAAUAAUCUCAAAUGAUGUAUUAAACAAAUAUUUUGAGGAACAAAGCUUAUUAUGUUUCUUCUUAUUAGUUGUAUUUUUAAUUUUUUAUUAAAAAAAUUCUCUCAUAUUCGAUUAAAAAAAAAAUUUUCAGCCACCCGCAUAAAGGUUGUUAGCUUCGCGGUUGAAUGGGGCUAAAUUAUGUAUUGUUUGACUAGUGAAACUCUUACCACAUCGGCUAAUAGGCUGCUUUUGGAUCCCUUAUUCUAACUUUUAUCAUGACUUGGCACUUGGCAGUGGUGACAGCAGAGCUUGUUCAUAUUGGUAGAAGUGAAAGCAAAUUAAGGAGAGACAGAGAGACUAAUUAAGGUAACUAAAUACAUACGUCCACUAAGUUUAAUAUAGCGAAGUCCUGGAUCAGUCGCUUUGCUGAAAUGAUUUCAAAUAAUCGCCCACUGUGAUUGACAAUUUUCUCUUAUUUAAGUUUUGGUGAAAUGAAGCCCAUCCACAUAAAAUAAUUGAUAGGAAGUGUUCAGGAGAAAAGAUCAGCCUGAUUCAAUGCCUAGGGAUGUUACAAUCAUUUUUUGUUACUAAAUAUUUUUAAAUUAGGAUAAUGUAUUAAUGGAAUAAAACUUUUUGUAAUCUGACAAUUGAUAUACAAAAACCAGAAUCCUAAUUAAAUUCAAAUAAUCAUUAUAAUCAACAUCUAUAGGAAAAAGAAAAACGAGAAGCAUAUGCAACAAAAAUCAAUUCGUGAGGGAGGAAAAUUUACCUUAAUUAUUGAUGUGUUCUCUUCAGGAAUUUUAAUCUCUUGGUACUGAACUUUAUUUUUGCUUAAUUUAUUUCUAUCUCACGAGAACUUGCUAUCAUAGAACAUAUAUAUUUUGAGAGUCGGACUAUUGACACCCCUCUAAAUUCUAUUGAAAUCCCUUUUUUAAUUAUAUUCCAUUUAAAACCAAAAAUACCCUUUUUUAAUUUAACACUCUUUUCAUUUAUGAAUUUUUUAGUUUUCUCUCUUCAAACUUUCUUUAUUAUUUAAUUUCUAAAGCAAAAAAUCUAAAAGAAAAACUAAAAGAAAAUAAUGAAUAUUUUAUGGGUUUAAUAUAAUUAUCUUACCUAUAAAUUUUGGAUUCGUUGGGUUCAAAAAUUAGUUUGAGAAUCCUUAAGAAAUUAAUUAAAUUAGGGUAAAAUUUUAUUUAAUUUAUUUUUCCACUGUGUUGUAUCUUAAUUAAGUUUUUUUUUUGUUACAAGAACUCUAUUUUGGCUUAGAGGAUUACUUCUUAAAUUCAAAUUAUUUUAAUGAUAAUAAAAAAUUUGUGCAAGCAAAAAAAAAUAAGGAGAGAACGAAAAUAUAAAUGAUUUUAAUUUUAUUUAUAUUUGUCGUUAAACGUAAUUGUAAUGUAGCAGGGGUUUUAUGAGAUUAAUGAAGGAGUGCCAAUAGUCCAACUCAUAUUUUGAUGGUAAACUUGAACAAAUUGUUUAACGGGAAAAAAAAAAAGAUUUGAAAUAAUAUUAUAUUACUGCAAGAAAAAAUGUCGGUAACUUUGAUUUGGUGUAUCUUGGGCCACGUACGUACUUAAAAUUUGGGCAAGCAUCAGGAAAAGAGAAGUGACGGUAACAAUAAAAUUAUAUUGUUGGAGGAAAAGAGAUUUCCCAACAUCCGUCCUCUGACCGACCGAUCCUACAUGAUCCCUGUUCAAAUUGGCCCACGAAUGUUCCACGUGUCAAAACUUGGCCACGUCAUCUCUCAACUGGUUAUAACGGAUGAUAAUUUGGAGGGAAAAGCUACUUACCCCGGCAUUAACCCCGAAUUCGGGCCCCGAAUAUUGGCAAAAACAGUGCGUUUUGCUUUGCUUCAAUAGUAUUCCAGCUGUGCAGCACGUGAGCAUUCUGUUUGUCUUUCUAUUUGCGCAUGAACCACAGCUUUCUGCUCAGAAUUUCCAAACUUUUUGCUUGAUGCUCUGAUCGAACCUCUAAUUAAUUAAUUUAUUUAUUUAUUCUGAGCUCAGUGCUGCUUUUACUUGCUUGCUCAAGUAAAUAUGUAUCACUUUGCUAUCAAGUGGCAUUCUUAGACAUGCAAAGAAUUAAAUGAUAUAUGAGAUGCUGCCAAUUCUCUUAUAGCUUCUUUCCUCAAUGAGUGCAGUACUCCCCCACAUUAUUCUGUCAGCAUCCUUCCUCCAUCGGCCAAAGCAUUGGCGUCGGUUUUCAUUGGGUGAAAUUUUCUUUUGCUGGGCUGUAUGCGUGAAUAUGUUGAUUUCAUUCAACUUUAGAAAAUAGUCCAACAAUGUUCAAUUGCGAUGAAGAUUGCAUUCGUAAUACUUAGAUUUUAUGAUCAUGAUUCUUUAUCUUCUUUGGUGAUAGAAAGAAUCAUGAUCAUUCCACGAUACAGAGUCAUCAUACACUAAACUAAAAUAUAAGAAAACAUUCAAAUGCUUCACCAAUCUUUCUGGUGAAGCAUUUGAAUGUUUAAUUUUCAAUUGUUCUUAAUUGUAAUUUUAUUUAAAGUGGGGAUUUUUAAGAAUAAUGUAGGGGUGCCAAUAGCUCCACUCAUGAAUUUUAGUUGAAACAAAAGUAGGCCCAUAAUUACAAAGAAAAGUAGCCCAGUAUUAUUCACAUCAUUGACAAAACUCGAAGCAGAGCACAGUUUCAAACUCGAAACAAAAUGCCAGCAUUUUGGGGGUGCAUCCAUUGCUCAAGAGUUUUUUGUUUUUAUAUGCCACAAAAGUGCUUAUUUUCCAAAUAUAUAUCCCUUCUUUCCAUUUAUUCACUUAUAUACGACAAAUUCACCUGCAUUCAAAUACACCCAUUUGUGAAUUACAAGUUAAUUUUCAUUUCUGACUCAAAAUUUUCCUCCCGCUUUCCCAAUGUUAAGGUCUCAUUGUUUCCUUGCGUGUAAUAAAGUGAAGGUGAUUAUAUAGAUUUAGACUAUCCCAAUAUUUAUUUUGAUUCCUUAAAAAAUUAAUUUAAUGGGUCUCAAAAUUAUCUUUUUAAUUGUCGUAGUUCUUGUAAAAAUUAUUCAUCAAGUAUGGCGGGGUGAGAUUUUGUGUAGUUGAAAAUUUACUCUACCACAGUCAUGUACAAAUAAAGUAAUAGUCAAGUUUUUGAGAAAUUAUUGUGUCAUAAUCACGCACAAGCCGGGUGAUCAUCGACUAAUUGAAAUGGUCAGGCACAAGUCAGGAGGAUAAUUGGGUAUGAAUCCAAGUGUCAUAAGAGUGAGAUAAAAGGUCGCGUAAUUUUUAGAUAGAGGUUGAGUAAUUAAUAAUUAUAGUCGAUGGAUAAUGGUAAGGUAAAAACUGAAAAAUGGAGAAUAAAUAUACUCUUUAAAGAUAUUUACGACUUUUUCUUAAGAAAUUAUCAUAAUAAUGGGCUUACUAUGUAUGGUGUCAUAUUUGUAGAAUUUAGGAUUUUUUUUCAUGGCGUAAACGGUGCAAUUUCUUUCCAUUGCUCGAUUUGAAACUGCAUUAUUGUCUACCGAUUUUAAAUUCCAGUGGCCAGAUUAUUUUAAAACACGUAGUUUACUUAUAAUUCGUAAUAAUAUUGAAAUUCUAAUUUAUUUUGGACACAGCUUCUUCUAGUAGCAUGCUCCCAAGUCUAAAAGUAUUAUGAAGAUCGACUUGGUGCAUAAUCCCAAGUCUAAAUGAAUUUUAAUUAAUUAAGAUUAUUCUUAUUGGUCAAGCUUUCAAGUAGAUUACACAUAUUAAUUUGUAGUAGAUUAAUUAUUUAGAAGUAAAUGGAAGGCCUAACAACUUUUUUAACAAACUGAAACAGAAUUAAAGCAGAGGAGGGAAAAAUUAAUUGUGUUUGUGCAUAAUGUAUAUGACUAACUAACUAACUACGAGUUUAGCUGCCUGCCACAUCAGCAUAUAUAACAGAUAACUAAUAUCUCUCUAAACUAUAUUUUCGCAUACAUAAAUAAAUAAAAAAUUGUAAUUAAUUGGAUACAGCUUCAGCUUUCGGACUGGUUUGUGAAAAUCGGAAAAAUUUAAAAAUGCUCCUCUUGAACAAUCAUUUAUACGUGAACAAAGGGGAUGAUUCGUAAAGAUAAUCCAUCAAUGUUUAAUUACUUUCGAGCGUAUCAGAUUACUUUCAGAAAGAAAGACUUCAUUUGAUCUCGUCAACUUAAAAACUCAGAUUCCAUUUGUAAGAGAGUACAUUGCUCUUUUUGGUGAAAAAUAGUUUAACCGAAAUCCCCUUCAUCCAAUUUUUUUCUUUUUCUUUUCUUAUUAAGAAAUAACAAAAAAAAGCAAUGUUAUUGAGAAUAAUCCAAAUAUAUAUGUAGAUUUAAACCAAUCAUAUUCACAAACCAAAUUCCCUCAAAAGCCUUAAAGGCCAGAGAAGACUUUGACUCACUAUUGUGAUUGAAAAACGUGUGUGGCGAUUAAUGUACGGGAGGAGGAUUUAACGCGGGAAGAAAAAUAGAAGACGACUAUGAGUCUGCUCAUGGUGUCCUUUUCCAGGGUUAAAAUGUUUAUAUAAACUUUGUAAGAGCUCAAUCAACCGAAAAGUUAAUUAUAAGCAUGGAUCCGGCAUCCUCCAUUUUCAGAUUGGCAACCCUUGUAUGGGUUGCAAUUUUUACAUGCGAUAACGUUGCUGUUAGAACUGGUACAUUUGUCACAGCAUCUGCUUUGUCACCCAUACAGUUAGAAACGAAAGCUUUACUCAACACUGGCUGGUGGAACAACAGCUUCUGGACGGCCACCUACUCUUCGGAUCACUGCAAGUGGACUGGCAUCACUUGCAAUUCAGCAGGAAGCAUAUUCGAGCUAUACUUAUCAGGGUAUUAUGCUGACUUCAAUUGGCGGCUUAGCCAAUUAAACUUCUCUUGCUUUCCGAACCUCGAAAAUCUGACAAUCCAGUUCUUUACUCUUACUGGAAACAUACCACCAGAAAUUAGUGCUCUUUCGAAACUCCAACAGCUGGACUUGUCCUUGAACAGACUUACAGGUAACCUACGAAAUUAACUUCAUUACCGCAUAUUAUUUACAUGCGAUAACGUUGCUGUUAGAAUUGUCACAGCAUGCAACCGUUGCCUUUCUUGAAUAUUUGUAUUGAGUAAAAUUUGGUAAGAAACAGCCUUCUUAGAAUUGUCACAGCAUGCAACCGUUGCCUUUCUUGAAACUAACAAAGGAUGAUCAAUAUAAUUGCUAAUCUUAAAUGUAUUUCGUUGGUAGUAUUUUGUAAAACUUUGGUGAGGGUGAAUAUUGGUUUCAUGAAAGCGUUACCUUUCUUGAAUAAAAAUGAAAGUAACUCUUCUAAAUUGAAAUUGGUGCUUCCAAUCUAAACUAUUAAAUCUUUAAUUAUUUUUUCUGUGCGAAUUGCAAGUGCAAAUAAGGUCAGCAAGUUUUGCUAUUGUGCUAAGUCAUAUUUGGUAUUAAUGUAUUGUAACUUUUAACAAAUAACUACUUUAGAACCAAAAUGUAAUUAUAAAAUAAAAGUUGAGAGUGUAUAAUCAAUAUAAAUUUUAACUAAUAAUUUUAACAAAAAUAUUAAAAAUAUUAUAGGCUUAUCAUUAUACAAGUGUGAGAUCAAAUCAACAAACAAGAUACUCAAAACUAACUUUCAUUAUUACAAAGAGCAAUAAAUUAAAAACAAAGGCAACAAACAAGAGACAUGCAAAUUUAGUGUGCUCUCUUUGUGUGAGGCUAAGGGUCAAUUUUGGAAUUAUUGUUCUAAUAGUCAAAAUUGAUUGUUUGAAAAGCUACAAACGUGUGUGCGUUGCUGUUCGGUAAAUUAUAUUAAUUUGACACUUAAAAAUUAAGAAAAAAAAAAAAAGAGAAUAUUGGUGGUGUCUGGCUCGUUUUAGACGUUUAGAAAUUGUUAGAAAUUGUAUAACCGUACCACAACAACUUGAGUCAUGAAUGGAAGACCGUUGAUUUGUACAUGGAAUUAUGGAUUAAUAAAAGUCUGUGCGGCUCCAUAACCAAUUUUUUUUAUUAUUUGAUUAUUUUUAUCGCCAGAAUGACACAAAAUAUAAAUUUAUAGGGUAGAAAAUAACAAAACAAAUAAAAAAAUUAUAGUACUAAUUAUUUUACAAUGGUAAUUCUGUCAAUUUGAUAGAUAAUUGAUACAAAUAGUAAACUUAAGGUGAAAAAUAAAAAAAUUGAAUAAAUUUAAAUUUUCAAAGUAUUUUUUUCUGUGUGAAUUGCAAGUGCAAAUAAGGUCAGCAAGUUUUGCUAUUGUGCUUAUUUCCAUAUUGUGGCAUGACAUGGGCUUUUCUUCUCAAUCAAAUUUUAAAAAAUAAGUAGACUGCAGAUAUAAAUGUAGACAAAUUAUUAGCCUUACUUCACAGAAGUUUCAUUGCUUGUCGUUUUGCAUUGGCACAUAAGAGUGAUCAAUUGAAUUGGAACGGCAAUGUUGAAGUUGAUAUGGUAAAAGUGAAAAUGACUAGAUAUUCCGCAAAGUCUAAAAUUCAAGAAAUUGAAGCACCAAUCAAGGGAUCAAAUUCUGUCAUGUAAUUAAUUAUCAUCAAUUGGCUUGAAGGUCAUCAAGAAGGUACUGGAUUGACAAAUUAAAUUACAUUGCUCUUUCAUAAAUGGUAAAUAAAUAAAAUAUAAGACUUAGGUCAUGUUAAGUAUUUAGGUAUUGUAAUUUUUAAGUUAUAACCAUUGUGAAACAAAAAUUGUAACUAUAAAAUAAAAGUUGGGCGUGUAUAAUCAAUAUAACUUUUAACUAAUAAUUUUGAUAAAAAUUAUAAAGAUAUUAUAAGCUUCUCAUCAUACAAGUGUGGGAUCAAAUCAACUUAAUUUUUAUAUCACAAUUGGCAGUACUUACUAUAUAAUUUUGUGCUAUAACUUAGAAAAUUAUAACUACCCAACAUCGAUACCAAACAAGACCUUAGUCUGUGAGCAUCUAUCAUUCCUUCCUUGUUUUAAAAUACUAGUCGUAUUAAGUCUUGAACUUGAAAUCAAUCUAACGGUACAGAGUUUUUUCCAAGUUCCAUUAGCACCAAAUUUUCCUUUGCUUCCUCUGUUUCUUCAGCUAAACGCCACUAAAGAUAUCAAAAUUAUUGCUUGUUUGUUUCUGGAAUUCAGCUAUCGGUAUGAUACAUCCGCUGAGACCCCGGGUGCAUUUUUUCCUGCUCAAAUACCUAAUAGUCACUAACCAACCAAUAUGAAUUCUUGAAAAAGAACCAUAAAAAAAAAAUGAUUCUUUUAUUCAUAUUUCUCCAGAGAGAAAGAAGAAACAAAUAAUUAAGAGCUGAAAUUAUGUAAUUAAAUAUGGCAAUACAUAAUAUACAAGUUACCUACGGUUGGUCACUUGUAAUAUUAUGAUACAAUUAUCUACGGUUAAUCCAUGCAUGGUUCGCUUGUAAUUUAUUGUCUUUUUAUUUUAGUUUUUCAAUUAUUAUUAUUAAUAUUUUAGUUUCUUUAGUGAAAGAGAGGAAUUAUUUAGUCCGGAAUCCUAGAAUUCGGACAAACGGUGGGUUCCAACAUAUAUGCAGUAGAUAAAUAAAGAGAGCAAAGGCUGUUGGAUUGCAAUACAGAGUUUUCUAGAUAAUUUCCUAAUAAAGUAUAUUUAUCUCAUCAUAAUUAGUUUUGGUGGUUUAUAAAUGUUGAAAGUGUAAAUUUUGAAAUUUCACCUACUUUUAAUUAAAUUUUAAAUAACCUAAGAUAAAUUUUCAUGAUCGAAAAAAGCAGAUAAUUAUUUGAGGAACCAUGUUAUGAUACAUUAUAAUGUAUCAUAUAUUAACCUAUUCCAACAACGUAAAACUUGAUUCAAUAAAACUACGAUUGAAUUUACAAAAAUAACUUUUGGAUUUGAUGCAUCAUACAUUAUCAGUAUAAAUUAUCCUAGCAACAUCCUAAUUUAAUAAUCACUUUUAGAAUAAGUUUACUAUUUAUUUUUUUGUAAAAAUAUUUUUUUUAUUCCUUUACAUACAAUAAAUAUAUAAUUUAUUCUAGCUCAAUCAAAGAUGUCUAUUCUAAAAUGAAAUAAGAUUUCAUAAUGUCGUUAUCUAAAAUUUCUGAAUUAUUUAAGAGUAAAAUUAAUAAAAUAAUUUACAUAAUUGAUUGCCAAUAAUAUUGUAAGGUUAUAUUUAUGAUAACGAUUAAUAAUCUCAUUAAUUUCUGAUAAAGUUAUAAAAAAUUAUUUAAAAAUUUAGAAAAGCUAUUACAAAUAUUUUUGUUUCUAAAGUUAAAUUUAUUUUUAGGGAGAUAAUAAUAAAGUAAUUUAGAAAAGAAAAAUGAAAAGAAAAGACGACCAUAACCAUUGGACCUUAGCGGCUAGUUUGUCAGUAAAGCAACCGAGUCAAAAUUUUCUUUAAGCAACGAAACAACAGCACAACGACUUUUGAAGAAGGUAAGUACUAAGUUAUAUGUAAUAUAAUUUACACCACUCAUUUAAAUAGUGAAUAAACUCCACAUUAUUUUUUAUUCAUGUGCAUAAGUGUGAGUUAUAUUACAUGUAACUUAAGGCUCCCUAAGCCACUCGGCCUUUGGCCGAGUGGUGAGAGCUACUGCUCUCCAAUUUGGAGAGCAGCAGUUCGAACUCCCACAAUGCAUUGCGGGGGUCUUCAUUUCUCAAGUAAAUUUGAGUGAAGGCAGUCUGCUUCCUUACCCAAGUGUGAGGAGUAGACAUCUCUCAAAUAUUUGAGAGGGUUAAAAUCUGGGCAGCGCUCCAUUAGUAUUGAUGUAUGUUGGUCCCAGUUAUAGUCUGAUUUGUAAAUAUCAGUUAUAUUCUCAUAUAAUAUGAGUUGUAAUUUGAACAAUAGUCUCGUGUAAUAAAAAAAAAAAAACUUAAGGCUCCCUUCGAAGAAUUAAAACUCACUACUGUGCGCCACGUAUCGGCCUAUGUUCCUCUUUGUCGGUUACGUCGCUCUGCUCUCAACGACCUUUGUGUUUUUCAUGUUUUAUUUUUUCGAAAGACUUAACGAUCUUUGUUUACUUUAUGUCUAAAGAGCAAGCUCUCCUCAACUCACAGCCGUUAGAUUAGAUUCUUUUAGCUAUUCGACGGCCAAAAAGGUAACAAGACUAAAAGUAAAGGGAGCCGUUGUGGGAUCCGCUUGAAUGAUGGAAACCCGACACGUCGCUAUCAAAUUUCUUUUUAAAAUAUGUGGUGGUAGUGGUAAUAACAUUAAGUCCCUAAAUUUUUGAAACAUCAUAACUAAAGACAUAUCUUGCAAAAAUAUUCAUAGAAGUCCUAUCCUUAGAAUUUGUUAAAGAAUCACAAGUAAAAUCAAUCAUUUAACAGUUAAAUGGGUGAAAAUUAAAACAGAAUCUAAUUUAAAGAUAUGUUAAUCAUGCUUUUAUCAAUCGUGUGCUAAAUUAGCGUUUUAAGCUUUUUAGCUUGGCCGAACUUGUGCCGCCCAAAAUUUUCACUAGGAAGAAUACCAUAAAUAAUCCAACCUAAACUACUACAACAGGGUCUCUGCAAAAAUAUUAUCUUUCACUUAUGACCUUUUAUUUAAAUUUUUGUAGACAUUAGGGACCUUCUUGCUAUUAUCUCAAAAGAAAUCAGGUUCUUCAAGCCUAUAAAUACAAAGAGAGUCAUUCACAGUUGCUCAUGUUAGUAUGUUACAAAACCAAAACAAGAUAUAAUUUGGAGAAAAGAAGAUUCAUAUCACAAAAUCAAAAUCUCUCACUCUUUAAGUUCUAAUACAGCGAUGGCGCAGGUUAGUAUUUGCAGAUCUGUGGCUUUGAUUCUCUUCAUUGCAGCAGUUCUCUCAAUGACAGCUGUCGGCAGUGCACAGGAUGUCGACCUGGCGCCGUCGCCGAGCAUGGACGCCGGAGCUGCGUUCCCUGUGACUGUUUCCGGUGGCUUUGUUUGCUCCUUACUCUUCUUCUCAGUCAUUGCUCUACUAUUGCAGUAAUAGGUUCUUGAGAGACUGAGAUUUUGAUUUUAUAUUUUAUAUUUUAUUUUUAUUAUUAGGAUAUUUAUUACUUUUGAAAUUUUUGGGUAUUUUUUUAAUUGCUAUUUGGUGGGAGUGCAUGUGUUUGAGUUGCUGUGAGUGAGAAUAUUGGAAAUGGAUCCGGUGCUCAGCUGAGCUUGUUCUGAGCACCGGAUCAAUGGUCAGCAAUUAUUUAGGGCCCACAUAAAGCCUAGCACAGCUAAGCAUUGGAUCAUGAUCCGAGAAUAUUAGUUUUAAUAAUCGAUUAUUUUUCCUCUAAUCUUUGGUUAGGGUAGUAUUUUCUUUUUAUUUUUUUUACGGUCUUGAUAUUAUAUUAUAUUUUAAUUAUAAAAAUUGGUAUUGUUAUUUAUCAUCUUUCAUCUCUCUUUAAUAUUCAUCGUGCUUAAUAUUGUUAGCUCCAUUUUACUUCGCUACUAAAAAUGUCCCAGAGAUCAUUUCUAUUAUAUGUAUUGUUGAUUUUAAGUAUAUUUAGUACAAAAACUAGCUGAAGGAAAUUGACUUUAAAUCAGAAAAAAAAUCUAUUUAGAUGGUUAAAAUCUAAAGUUAAUUGAAAAUCUAUUGCAAAUUAAUAAUUCCAAAUCCGUGUCAUUAUUUUAAGGCAAAAAUUUAUCAAGAAAAAUUGAACUCGGAUAGUUUUAUGUAGUUUCAUACUUUCAAUUUCAAAUGGGCUGGUUUAAUAAUUAGGAGUGGCGCUAUCGGCACCCCCCUGAUAUCCUUCUCAAACCCCUUUUCUGUUUAUUUCCUCCUUAAUUCCUAAAAUAGCCUUUAUCUGUAAUUUUUCCGCAAACAAUUUCAACCUCCUUUGGAUAACAACCAAAUAUUUUGUAUCCUAUGCGCUUAAUUUAUUAUGAGGUUUCUAUUUGUUUUAGUUUUAUACUUUUCAGUUUAUGAAAUUAUAUUUCAAAAUAAAUAUGUAUAAAAUACACUCAGAUAGUGUUUGGUUUUAAGAAAUGGGAGGAGAAGAAAAGAGUGGAAUGAAGGGGAAAGGAGAAGAGAAUAGUGAAAUUAAAUUUUAUUAUUUAGUUUGACAUAAAAUUUAAUAGAAAAAGGAAUUGUAAUUUUUUUCUUUGGACAAAUUUAUCCUUUACCUUAAAUAUUAAAUUAUCUAUAUUACUAAUAAAAUAUAAUUUAAUAUUAAUACUAAAAUUUUUUAAUUUUAAAAAGUUCUAAAACAAUUUUAUGAUUUAUAUUUAAUAUAAAAUAAUUUAAUAUCUUAAACUAUUUAAUAUUAAAUAUAAUUUAAUAUAAAUAAAAGUCGGUCAAUAUAAGUCAACGCCGGUCAACAUCGGCCGGCUAUUUUCCGACGGAAGUUCGGUGUGCCGGCGGUGGUCCGGUGAAGUUCCGGUGAAAAUUCCGGGCGAAGUGUUGGUGUACCGGCUAAGUUUCGGUGAAGGUCCGACGAUAGUUAAUUUAUAUUUAUAUAUUUUCAUAUUAAAUAAAUAAAUAAGUUUAUUUAUUUUAUUAAAUUUUUUAAAUCAUUCAUUAAAUUUGAUUAAUAUAAAAUUAUUUAUAAUAUUAAAUUGAUAAAAUAAAAUUAUAAAUAAUAAUAAUUAAUAACAUUAAAGAAGUUGAAAUGUUGAAGGGCAAUUUUGGAAACUUGUGUUUUCAACAUAAGAGGAAUUUAAAUUCUUCACUCUUUGGUGUGAAAUUUAAAUUCUACAUUAUAAGGGAUAUUAAAUUCUAAUAAAAAAUAAAUUCUUAUAUAUUUUGUGCAAUCAAACAAUGGAAAUAAAAGUAGAAUUUGAAUUACUUUCCUCUCCCCCAUUCUCUCUCCCCAACCAAACAUCCCCUCAAGGUUUAGUUAUCUCUUAGCAUUCUAAUAUCGUUCGUAAUUUAUGAAAAUUUUAUGAAAUUAUCUUUCCUACAAAAAUAAAUUGUUAAGUGAAAAAAAAUACUUCAUAUCAAAUUCUUACUCUUUACCAUUGACCUUUUUUUCCCAAAAAAAAAAUGCAACUUUUACGUGCUUUAGUGGAGAAAGAGUCAGUGAGAAAAAAUCAUAUAUGGAUUUAACAAGAUAAGAUUUUACAGCGAAUACAAUUCAGGAUACAAGGGAUAAAAUUGUAAAUGUAUAACAAGAGGGGUUUUAUAAGAAAAAUACAGGGCUGCCAAUAGUAUCACUCAAUAUUUAGACCAUCUACUUAUAUUGUAGUUUUAUGUCGUUUCAUACUUUUGAUUUCAAAUGGGCCGGUUUCAUAAUUAGACCAUCUACUUAUGUUGUAGUUUCAUACUUUCGAUUUCAAAUGAGCCGGUCUAACAAUUAGACCAUCUACUUUCAUCUGUUGAGUUUAACUGAUGAAGAAGAUACUCAAAAAUACAAACAAGAAAUUAAAAACAAAGGCAACAAGCAAGAGACAUGCAAAUUUAGAGUGCCCCUCUCUGUGUGGGGCUAAUGGUCAGUUUUGGAAUUAUCGUUCGAAUAGUCAAAAUUGAUUGUUUGAAAUUAACUACAAACGUGUGUACCUUGUUGUUCGGUAAAUUAUUUUAUUUGACUUCAGCCCGAGAUAUAUUAAUUUGGCACUUAAAAAUUAAGAAAAAAAAAGAAUAUUCUGGAUUAAACGAACUUGGAAAUUAAGAAGCUACACUUGUAAACCAAUUAUAUAGCCCGGAAAGACCUUGACUCCAAAAGAAAUCUACUUCAAUCUUUGGAAAAUUUUGAUACAAGUUCUAAAUUUUCCACGAGAUAUCCCAAAAUGUAAUUUUCAAACAAUUGUUGUUGGUGUUGUCGAGCUCGUUUUAGACGUUUAGGAAUUGUUAGAACUCGUAUAAGGACAAUGACACAAUGACACAAAUUACCAAUUUAUAGAGUAGAAAAUAACUUGUCAUGAAUAGAAGAAGACCAUUUAUUUAUACAUGGAAUUAUGGAUUAAUAAAAGUCUUUGCUCCUCGAAAACCAAUAAUUUUUAUUGAUUAUUUUAUUAUUUGAUUAUAUAUGUUGGACCAAAAAUAAAAUAAGCCUAAUAAUACCCAAAUAAAUUUAAUCACAAUAAGGCUCAUCUAAUAAAUUUUCUCUCAAUUAAACCCACAAAGUGCUGGACAAAUCACCUAAAAUGAUCUUCCUAAGUAACAAAUUUCAAAGCCCAAAAGAUGUCAACAAUACUAAUAAUAGUAUUUAAUUUUUUUUUUUUUGGUGGAUGAUUGAUACCAAUUAUAAACUUAGAAUAAAAAAAUUGAAUAAAUUUAAAAUUUUAUAUUACUUUUGAUAACAAGAUAAAUAUAAAUAGAUGACUAAUAAUUUUUCUACAAUUAAUCCUAAUUCUUCAUUUUUGAAUUUGAGUGGCCAACAAAUAAAAUUAUUUGAAAACUACUCUAUCCUGAGAGUUAUUGGUAGAUGUGUGAUUGCUAACCACCAGAAAAAAAUAACAAAAAAGAAAUUUAAUUGAGGAAAAUCAAAUAUCUAUAAAGAUUUGUACCAAUCAUGUACACAAAUCAAACUCCCUCUGAAGUGUUCUAAAGUGUAAAGACCAGAGAAGACCUUGACUCACUAUUGUGUUUGAAAACAAGUGUUGCUAUUCAACGCGGGAAGAAGAUGAUUAUGGGCCUGCUCAUGGUGUCCUUUUCCUGGGUUAAAGUGUCUAUAUGAACUUUAUAAGAACUUGCAGAAUCCAAUCAACCAAAAAAUUACAAUCAUGGAUCCGACUUCCUCCAUUUUCAGAUUGGCGGCCCUUGCAUGGGCUGUAAUAUUUACAUGCGAUAACGCUGCUGAUGGAAGUGGUACAUUUGUGACAGCAUCUGCUUUGUCACCCAUACAGUUAGAAAAGCAAGCUUUACGCAAGACAGGCUGGUGGAACAACAGCUUCAGGACGUCCAACAACCCUUCGGAUCAUUGCAUCUGGGAUGGCAUCACUUGCAAUUCAGCAGGAAGCGUGAUCGAGCUAAGCUUAUCAGAGUACGAUGUUGACCUCAAUGCGCAGGCACAGCUUAGACAAUUAAACUUCUCUUGCUUUCCGAACCUCGAAAUUCUGACAAUCCAGUUCUUUCGUCUUACUGGAAGCAUACCACCAGAAAUUAGUGCUCUUUCAAAACUCCAACUGCUGGACUUGUCCUCGAACGGGCUUACAGGUCACAUACGAAAUUAACUUCAUUACUGCAUAUUAUUUGAGCAAUCAUAUUUAAAUGGAUUAAGUUUGAGAGAAUACUGACAAAAACAAAGGUAAACCAGCCCUAUUUUAUCAUAUUAAUUGAAAAAAUGAUAAUAAUAAUUAACACGAUAAAUACAUCUGUUUGCCGUUGUUUUUACUUAUGUUCUAUCAGCGUUUAAAUUUCUUUAACAUUUUUUUUCAUUAAUUUCGUAAACUAAUGACAUAAAUGUACAAAAUAGGUAUAAUCCCUCCAGAGAUUGGGAAUCUGAAAAAUUUAAUCAAGUUGGACGUGGGCAGCAACAGCAUAAUUGGGCCUAUUCCUUCAGCUCUAGGGAGUUUGACCAAUCUGAGCAAUUUGGAUCUUUCCUCAAACAAACUUUCUGGGAAAAUUCCUCCAGAGAUAGCAAGUAUGAAGUAUCUAACCCAGUUGGACCUAUCAAAUAACAACAUACAAGGUUCAAUUCCCUGUGAGCUCACCAAGUUAUCUCAACUUGGUUAUCUCAAUCUUUCCUCUAACAAACUUUCUGGCCCAGUACCAUUUUCAAAAAAACAACUCUCAAGCAUGUACUCAGUAAGCCUCUAUCCCAACAAGGGUUUGUGCGGCAAUUUUAUUGGUCUUCCUUCAUGCCAUACGACCAAACCUGCCACUCUCUUUGUUGAAAUUUUUCUUCCCCUCACCAUAGUCCUCUCAGUCAUAGUCUUUGCAUGCUUACUACUUGCUAAACGUAAGUACAAGAAACCCAAACUCGAGGAAAGAGCAACCAAUAACAUAGAUGUAUUUUCAAUAUGGAAUUAUGAUGGUAGAAUUGUCUACGAGGAUCUGAUUGAAGCCACCGAAGAUUUUGACAUUAAAUAUUGCAUUGGUACCGGAGGCUAUGGCAGCGUCUACAAGGCACAGCUUCCCAACGGCAAGGUAUUUGCAUUGAAAAAGCUUCACACUUCAGAGGAAUUGGCGUUCAUCAAGAGUUUCCAAAACGAGGCUCAAGUGCUUUCUCAAGUACUGCACCGUAAUAUUGUUAAAUUAUACGGUUAUUGCUUGCACAGAAAAUGCAUGUUUCUCAUUUACGAGUACAUGGAGAGAGGAAGCUUGUUCUGCAAUUUACACAAUAAUGAGGACGCCGUGGAGUUGGAUUGGGCUAAGAGGGUGAACAUUGUAAAAGCCAUGGCACAUGCUUUGGCGUACUUGCAUCAUGACUGCUCACCAUCAAUUAUUCACCGCGACAUAUCGAGCAACAACAUUCUACUUAACUCAAAAUUGGAGGCAUUUGUUGCUGACUUUGGCACUGCCAGGCUUCUACACGCUGAUUCGUCCAAUCGAACUCUAUUAGCAGGAACAUAUGGAUAUAUAGCUCCAGGUUUACCCUUAUGAUAUCUAUUCUUCUCAUGAUCGAUCCUUUAUUUGGUUCAAUUUUAUUUUCUUUUACUUUAUAUUGCAGUCAUAUCCCAUAACAUCUCUCUUAAAUAGAUAGCCAGCUGGCUAGAGAAACUCACAAAUGGAAUUAUCUCCUUUAUUAGUGGGAAGCUACAUUCUAUGAUUACUUUGCCUCAUAUAAAUCUUCUUUUUUUUUUUUUUUUGUGGCAGAACUUGCCUACACCAUGGUUAUGACGGAGAAAUGUGAUGUUUAUAGCUUUGGAGUAGUGACACUUGAGGUAUUAAUGGGAAAGCAUCCAAGGGACCUUCUUUCAUCAUUGUCAUCAUCAUCUGAUCCAAAAAUCAUGCUGAUUGAUGUUUUAGACCAACGUCUUCCACCUCCAGUUGAUCGAAAGGUUAUUCGAGAUAUCCUUCUUGUUUCAACAGUUUCAUUUGCAUGCUUGCAAUCAAACCCAAAGUCUCGACCUACAAUGCAAUCCGUGUCUCAAGAAUUUCUCAUCACUCGCAAGACUCCAUUGGUAAAGCAUGCUGCUAUUCAAGAUAUUUCCAUCUCAGAACUUAGAAACUAAUAGAGGAUGUAUUUGAUUGAUCAAUAUGAUUGCUAAUCUUAAAUGUAUUUCAUUGAUAGUAUUUUGUAAAUCGUUGGUGAGGGUGAAUUUUGGUUUCAUGAAACCGUUACCUUUCUUGAAUAAAAAUGAAAGUAACGCUUCUAAAGUGAAGUUGGUGCUUCCAAUCUAAACGAUUACAUCUUUAAUUAUUUUUUCUGUGCGAAUUGCAUGUGCAAAUAAGGUCAGCAAGUUUUGCUACUGUGUUAGGAAAUCUUCUUCCACUCACAUUAUUUUUAUAAAUUAAUAUCGUGUGCAAUAUCUGCCUCUCGUUAUCAUCUUUCAACCGGACAAAUAAAUAAUCAUAACAAAUAGCAAUAAUUAUUGUAACUCAUGAGUUCACUGAACAGUAAAUCAAAGUGGGAAUAUUUCCAUAUUGUGGCAUGACAUGGGCUUUUCUUCUCAAUCAAAUUUUAAAAAAAAUUGGAUUCUCUAUUUCACUAUUUAAUUAAGUAGACUGCAAAUAUAAAUGUAGACAAAUUGUUAGCCUUGCUUCACAGAAGUUUCAUUGCAUGUCGUUUUGCAUUGGCGCAUAAGAGUGAUCAAUUGAUUGGAACGGCAAUGUUGAAGUUGAUCUGAUAAAAGUGAAAAUGACUAGAUAUUCCACCAUGUCUAAAUCCAAGAAAUUGAAGCACCAAUCAAGUGAUCAAAUUCUCUCAUAUAAUUAAUUAUCAUCACUUGGCCUGAAGGUCAUCAAGUAGGUACUCGGUUGACAAAUUAAAUUAGAUAGUUCUUUCAUAAAUGGUAAGGAAAUAUAACCUAAGAUUUUGGUGAUAUUUGGUAUUAAGUUAUUAUAACUUUUAAGCAUAGUCAUUGUGGAACAAAAUUAUAAUUAUGAAAAAAAUUGAGAGUACAUAAUCAAUUUAACUUUUAACUAAUAAUUUUGCCAAAAAUAAUAAAGAUAUUGUAGGCUUCUCAUCUUACAAGUGUGAGAUCAAAUCAACUUAACUUUUAUACCACAAUUGACAAUACUUAGUAAAUAAUUUUGUGCUGUAACUUAGAAAACUAUAACUACCCAACAUCGAUACCAAAUAGGACUUUAUUCUGUAAGCAUCAAUCAUUCUUUCCUUGUUUUAAAAUACUAGUCGUAUUAAGUCUUGAACUUGAAAUCAAUCUAACGGUACAUAGUUUUUUCCAAGUUCCAUCAGCACCAAAUUUUCCUCUGCUUCCUCUGUUUCUUCAGCUAAACGCCACUAAAGAUUUCAAAAUUAUUAGCUGUUUGUUUCAGGAUUUUAGCUAUCGGUAUGAUACAUCCGCUGAGACCCCGGGUGCAUUUUUUCCUUCUCAAAUAUUGAAAGACUCAACGAUCUUUCUUGAGUUUGUGUCUAAAGAGCAAGCUCUCCUCAACUCAUAGCCGUUAGAUUAGAUUCAUUUAGCUAUUCGACGGUCAAAAGGUAACAAGACUAAAAGUAAAGAGAGCCGUUGUGGGAUCCGCUUCAAUGAUGAAACCUGACAUGUCGCUAUCAAAUUUCUUUUAAAAUAUGUGGUGGCAUUUAUUUUUUAACUUAAUGACUUAAAGUGACUUAAUUUAAUUAAUUAAGUUAAUUAGAGGUGUUUAUUUUUAUAACUUAAUGAGACUUUUUAGAUAAUUUUGACUUAAUAAAAUAAUCUAAUUUUUUUUGACUUUUUACUUAAUGGAGAAAUUUGAAUUAAGUCAAUUACUUGCUAAUGUCAAAAAUAUCCUUGUUUUAUAAUUUAUUUUUCAUGUGUAUUCCAAAACUCACCCAUAGAUAUUUAACCCACAUAAAAAUAUCCAUGUUUUUUAUUUCUUAUAUUAUAUACGAUAAAAUUUGAAAUUUAUGGUAUUUUAUAUAUUAAAAUUUCAAAAUAAUUAUGUACACUUGAAUAUAGUUUUACUGAUAAAUAUUAAAAUAUUAUGGUAUUUAAUAUAUUAUUUAUUUGACAUUCAAAUUUAAUAAGGAUAUAAAUGUAACAGUAUAUAUUUUCGGCUUUUUAAGUUGAAAAAAAUAAAUAAUUUAAUACUUAUUUUUCGAGAUUCAGACGAAAAAACAAACAUAUUAUUUAAAUUCAGACAUUCAAAUAUAUUUAAAAUUCAGAUUAAUUCAAGUCUAUUCAAAUUUCAGAUAAAAAAACAAACGCCACUAAUUUAGUAGAAUUUGUGCCGCCCAAAUUUUUCGCGAUAAAAAACACGACAAACAAUUCAACCUAAAGUCCUAAACUACUACAACAGGGUCUUUGUAAAAUAUAUUAUCACUUAUGCCCCUUCAUUUAAAUUUUUCUAAACAUUAGGAACCUUCUUGCUAUUAUCUCAAAAGAAAUCAGGUUCUUCAAGCCCAUAAAUACCAAGUGUCAUUCACACUCUACUCAUAUUACAAAACCUAAACAAGAUAUAAUUCGGGGGGGGGGGGGGGGAAAUCAUAUCACAAAAUCAAAGUCUCUCACACUCUUAAGUUCUAAUACAGAGAUGGAGCAAGCUAGUAUUUGCGGAGCUGUGGCUUUGAUUCUCUUCAUUGCAGCGCUUCUCUCAAUGACAGCUGUCGUCAGUGCACAGGAUGUCGACCUGGCGCCGUCGCCAAGCAUGGACGCCGGAGCUGCGUUCCCGGUGACUGUUUCAGGUGGUUUUGUUUGCUCCUCACUCUUCUUCUCAGUCAUUACUCUACUAUUGCAGUAACAGGUUCUUGAGAGACUUGAGAGACUCAGAUUUUUAUUUUAUUUUAUAUUUAUUUUUAUUUUUAUUAUUAAGAUAUUUAUUACUUUUGAAAAUUUUGGCAAUUUUUUUAAUUGCUAUUUGGUGGGAGUGAGAAUAUUAGUUUUAAUAAUUCGAUUAUUUUUCCUCUAAUCUUUGGUUAGGGUUGUAUUUUCUUUUUAUUUUUUUUACGGUCUUGAUAUUAUAUUAUAUUUUAAUUAUAAAAAUUGGAAUUAUUAUUUAUCAUUUUGCAUCUCUCUUUAAGUAUAUUUAUCAUUGGGCUAUUAUAAGUAUUGUUAAUUUUAAGUAUAUUUAGUACAAUCGACUUUAAAUAAGAAAAAAAAAUCUAUGUGGGUGGUUAAAAUCUAAAAGUUAAUUGAAAAUCUAUUGCAAAUUAAUAAUUCAAAAUCCGUGUCAUUAUUUUAAGGCAAAAAUUUCUCAAGAAAAAUUGAACUGGGAUAGUUUUAUGUAGUUUCAUACUUUCAAUUUCAAAUGGACCGGUUUAGUAAUUAGACUAUCUACUUAUCUUGUAGUUUUAUGUAGUUUCAUACUUUCGAUUUCAAAUGGGCCGGUUUCAUAAUUAGACCAUAUACUUAUGUUGUAGUUUCAAUUUCAAAUGGGCCGGUUUAAUAAUUAGACCAUCUACUUUCAUCAUACUUAUCUUGAAAUUCAAAUCUUUCCUUACAUACUUUUUGUGCUUUUUCCAAAAUCUGAUUUGGAUUCAACCAUAUCUGUUUUUCUUUUUCUGUUUUUUUUUUUCAGGUUUCAUUUACACCAAAUUUUCUCCAUUAUGUUAGAAAAUUGAUGGGUGAAGCAGACACGCAACUAAAAUAAAAUUGGAAGAAAAUAAAGAAUAAGUACAAAAGAGGACACUAGAAAUUACAUGGUUCGGCUUUUAGCUUACGUCCACAGGCGAAGACAGAAGGAAAAUAUUUCACUAGUGAAAUAAGAAUUACAAGUAUUGUAAUAUUUUGGCGGACUAUCCAAAACCUCAAUACACCAAAUCUCUCACUCACUAAUUACACAAGAGUAUUAAAAACUCUUAAUCUCUCACACAACUCUUUCUCUUUUACAAAACAAAGAAGAGAAACUUAAGAAAAAUGGAAUUAAUAAAAGGGAAAAGGACACAGAGACCCCCAACGUUUGAAUAAUGGACAUAAAACUCCCUAAUGUUUCAAAAAAGACACUCAGACCCCCAUUUGUUAACAGAAAUUAUAAUUUUAAAGUGCAAUUACCAUUAUACCCUUAUAGCAUAUUAAAAAAUAAUUGUUCAUUGUCCAAUUUAUUCCUAUAUUAUUAAUAAAAUUACGAAUAUAACUUUAUUACCCAAUUUUUUGAUUUAAUUUUUGUCAAAUUUUCUCUUCAAACUAAAUAAAUUUAAUCCAUUGCUCAAGAAUAAAAAUAAAUUAAAUUGAUUAUUAAUAUAAUAAAAAUAACAAUUCUCCAUAUGUCAAUCUAUUGGAUAUGUUAUUUAAUUUAGUACAAUUAAGAUUUUGUAAUUAUUGUUGUAACCAAUUUUUUUUAUUUUGUUGAUUAUAUAAGUUUAAAUGGAGAAUUGUUAUUUUUAUCAUAUUAGUAAUCAAUUUAAUUUAUUUUUAUUCUUGAGUAAUAGAUUAAAUUUAUUUAGUUUGAAGAGAAAAUUUGACAAAAAUUAAAUGAAAAAGUUGGAUAAUGAAGUUAUAUUCGUAAUUUUAUUAAUAAUAUCGGAAUAAAUUGAACAAUGAACAAUUAUUUUUUAAUAUGCUAUAAGGGUAUAAUGGUAAUUGCACUUUAAAAUUAUAAUUGCUGUUAACAAAUGGGGGUCUGAGUGUCUUUUUUAAAACAUUAGGGGCGUUUGCGCCUCUUAUUCAAACGUUGGGGGUCUCUGUGUCCUUUUCCCUUAAUAAAAUGAGGAGGGAGCCUCUCUAUUUAUAGCCAAAGUUUUGGCUACUGUUCAUUUAAUAUUUUAUUAUUAUUAUUAAUUUUUCUUUUCUUUUUCCUUCUUCGGCCCGGCAUCUCUUUUUUUCUUCUCUCUUUUUUUUUUCUUCUUUGGGCGGCACCAAAUCCUUCAACAUUUUCUUUGGGCGGCUGUCAAAGCCAAUUUGAGUUUGGCUUGUUAAGGCCACCGGCUUUGACACAUUAUCCAUUCGCAAAUGAAUAUUGAAUCACCUUAGGAAUGUGCAAAACCUGUGAAGUUGAUACAGAGCAAUUAACAAAUCUUCGUUUGCAGACAUUUGAUUGUAAUCAGUUCCCAACUCUUUUCAUUGUCUUCUGAAAGCAACUUGCAUCUGUUGAGGCUAACAGAUGCAGAAGAUACUCAAAAAUACAAACAAGAAAUUAAAAACAAAGGCAACAAGCAAGAGACAUGCAAAUUUAGAAUUAUUGUUCGUCAAAAUUGAUUGUUUGAAAUUAAUUACAAACGUGUGUUUCGGUAAAUUAUUUUAUUUGAUUUCAGCCAGAGAAAUAUUAAUUUGGCACUUAAAAUUAAGGAAAAAAAAUAUUCUGGAUUAAACGAACUUGGAAAGAAGCUACACUUGUAAACAAAUUAUGUAGCCCGGAAAGACCUUGACUCCAAAAGAAUCUACUUCAAUCUUUGGAAUUUUGAUACAAGUUCUAAAUUUUCCACAAGAUAUCCCAAAAUGUAAUUUUCAAACAAUUGCUGUCGGUGUUGUCUAGCUCGUUUUAGACGUUUAGGAAUUGUUAGAACUUGUACAAGGACAAUGACUUAUUGAGUCAUGAAUAAGAGACCAUUUAACGCGGGAAGAAAAAUAGGACACCAUGAGUCUGCUCAUGGUGUCCUUUUCCAGGGUUAAAAUGUUUAUAUAAACUUUGUAAGAGCUUGCUGAAUCCAAUAGCUCAAUCAACCGAAAAGUUUUAAGCAUGGAUCCGGCAUCCUCCAUUUUCAGAUUCGCGGCCCUUGUAUGGGUUGUAAUAUUUACAUGCGAUAACGUUGCUGUUAGAACUGGUACAUUUGUCACAGCAUCUGCUUUGUCACCCAUACAGUUAGAAACGAAUGCUUUACUCGAUACUGGCUGGUGGAGCAGCGACGUCUGGACGGCCAACUACUCUUCGGAUCAUUGCGAGUGGAUUGGCAUCACUUGCAAUUCAGCUGGAAGCAUAAUCGGGCUAAACUUAUCAUGGUCUGAUGUUGACCUCAAAGCGCAGGCACAGCUUAGCCAAUUAAACUUUUCUUGCUUUCCGAACCUCGAAAGUCUCAGAAUCCAGGCCUAUUAUUAUAGUUUUACUGAAAGCAUACCAUCAGAUAUUAGUGCUCUUUCAAAACUCCAACUGCUGGACUUGUCCUUGAACAGGCUUUCAGGUAACCUACAAAAUUAACUUCAUUACCGCAUACUAUUUAAGCAUGAUAUUUAGAUGGAAAAUUUUGACAUAAUAAUGAGAAAUACAAAGGUGAAACUUGGUCUAUCUUGCCAUGUUAAAUGAAAAAAAAUAACAAUAACUAACACAGUAAUGCAUCUGUUUACCAUUAUUCUUAUUAAAGGGCUCUUAGCGUUCAAUUUCUUUAGAAUUUUUUUCAUUAUUUUCGUAAACUAACAACAUAAACGUAUAGCAGGUACCAUUCCUUCAAAUAUUGGGAAUUUGAGAAAUCUCGUUCAUCUUGAUCUAGGUAAUAACAACCUUGCUGGACCGAUACCUUCAACUCUAGGUCGUUUGACCAAUUUGAACUAUUUGGAUCUUAGUUUUAACCAAUUCAACAACUCAAUUCCAAAUGAGCUCAGCCAGCUAACUAAAAUUUUUCAUCUUGAUCUUUCCUCUAACAAACUUUCUGGAAAAAUUCCUCCAGAGGUAGCAAGUAUGAAGAAUCUAACCUGGUUGGACAUAUCAAAUAACAAGAUAGAAGGUUCAAUUCCCGGUGAGCUCACCGAGUUAUCUCGACUUGAUUGCCUCAGUCUUUCCGCUAACAAACUUUCUGGCCCAGUACCAUUUUCAAAUAAACAACUCUCAAGCAUGUAUAUAGUAAGACUCUCUCCUAACAAGGGUUUAUGCGGCAAUUUUAGUGCUCUUCCUUCAUGCGAUACAACCAAACCUGCCACUCUCUUUGUUGAAAUUUUUCUUCCCCUCACCAUAGUCCCCUCAGUUAUAGUCUUUGCAUGCUUACUAGUCGUCAAACGUAAGUACAAGAAACCCAAACUCAAGGCAAACGCAACCAAUAGCAUAGGUGUAUUUUCAAUAUGGAAUUAUGAUGGUAGAAUUGUCUACGAGGAUCUGAUUGAAGCCACGGAAGGUUUUGACAUUAAAUACUGCAUUGGUACCGGAGGGUAUGGCAGCGUCUACAAGGCACAGCUUCCCAACGGCAAAGUAUUUGCACUGAAAAAGCUUCACACUUCAGAAACAGAGGAAUUGGUAUUCAUCAAGAGUUUCCGAAACGAGGCUCAAGUACUUUCUCAAGUACUGCACCGUAAUAUUGUUAAAUUAUACGGUUAUUGCUUGCACAGAAAAUGCAUGUUUCUCAUUUACGAGUACAUGGAGAGAGGAAGCUUAUUCUGCGUUUUACACAAUGAUGAUGAAGCCGUAGAGUUGGAUUGGGCUAAGAGGGUGAACAUUGUAAAAGCCAUGGCACAUGCUUUGGCGUACUUGCAUCAUGACUGCUCACCAUCAAUUAUUCACCGCGACAUAUCGAGCAACAACAUUCUACUUAACUCAAAAUUGGAGGCAUUUGUUGCUGACUUUGGCACUGCCAGGCUUCUACAUGCCGAUUCGUCCAAUCGAACUCUAUUAGCAGGAACAUAUGGAUAUAUAGCUCCAGGUUUACCCUUCUGAUAUCUAUUCUUCUCAUGAUCGAUCCUUUAUUUGCUUCAAUUUUUUUUUUUUUCCUUUAUAUUGCAGUCAUAUCAGUAACAUCUCUCUGAAAUAGAUGGCCAGCUGGCUAGAGAAACUCACAAAUGGAAUUAUCUCCUUUAUUAGUGGGAAGCUACAUUCUAUGAUUACUUUGCCUCGUAUAAGUCUUUUUUUUUUUUUUUUUCUGCAGAACUUGCUUACACCAUGGUUAUGACGGAGAAAUGUGAUGUUUAUAGCUUUGGAGUAGUGACACUUGAAGUAUUAAUGGGAAAGCAUCCAAGGGACCUUCUUUCAUCAUUAUCAUCAUCAUCUGAUCCAAAGAUCAUGCUGAUUGAUAUUUUAGACCAACGUCUUCCACCUCCAGUUGAUCGAAAGGUUAUUCGAGAUAUCCUUCUUGUUUCAACAGUUUCAUUUGCAUGCUUGCAAUCAAACCCAAAGUCUCGACCUACAAUGCAAUCAGUGUCUCAAGAAUUUCUCAUCACUCGCAAGACUCCAUUGGUAAAGCAUGCUGCUAUUCAAGAUAUUUCCAUCUCAGAACUUAGAAACUAAUAAAAGGAUGUAUUUGAUUGAUCAAUGUGAUUUGCUCAUCUUAAAUGUAUUUCAUUGAUGGUAUUUUGUAAAACUUUGGUGAGGGUGAAUUUUGGUGAAAUUGCUGCUUCCAAUCUAAACGAUUACAUCUUUAAUUAUUGUUUCUGAGUGAAUUGCAUGUGCAAAUAAGGUCAGCAAGUUUUGUUAUUGUGCUUAGGAAACCUUCUUCCAUCCGCAUUAUUUUUAUAAAUUAAUAUCGUGUGCAGUAUGUGCCUCUCGUUAUUAUCUUUCAACCGCACAAAUAAAUAAUCAUAAUAAUAGCAAUAAUUAUUGUAACCCAUGAGUUGUCCGAACAGUAAAUCAAAGUGGGAAUAUUUCCAUAUUGUGGCAUGGCAUGGGCUUUUCUUCUCAAUCAAAUUUUAAAAAAUUUUGGAUUCUCUAUUUCACUAUUUAAUUGAGUAGACUGCAGAUAUGAGGUAGCUUUUACUUUUUGGAUUAGAUUGGGAAUCCUGAGGAGUGGGAAUCCUAGGAUUGGGAGUGUGGAGUGGGAGUGGGAGUAGGUUGUUUACUUACACUGGAAUGGAAGUAUGGAGUAGAGAUCAGAAUCCAAUUUGUGUUUACUUUGUCUUGGAUUGGGAGUAAAUAGUUUCAAAUUAUAAUUUUAUCCUUAUUUAAAGAAUUAUAGUUUUUAAUUAUAAAACUAAUAAAAAAUAUAUUUAAUGAAUAAUAUUUAUUUUAUUAUAUUUGUAAAUUUAUUAUAAUUAUUAAUAUUCUUAAUUAUGAACAAUAAAUUAUAAAUUUUAAUAUAAAGUGAAACCUUAUUUUAUUUUAUUUAAUAUAAUUAUAUUAAAUUUAUUAUUAUAUAAAAUAAUAAUAUAAUAUUAUUUAGUACAAAAUUAAUAUUUUCUUAGAAUAAACUAUUUAUUAUUAUUAAUAUUAAAUAAAUAUAGUACUAUUAUUUUUACAAUAAAUAUAAUAAUAUUAUAUUUAUUAAUUCUCUAUUAAUAUAAUAAUAUUAUUUUAAAAUAAUUUUAACUUAAAAUCAAUGCAAAUUAUUAUUUAAUUAAAUAUAAUAUUAUUAUUCAAAUAAAUAUAAUAUUAUUUAUUUUAUUUUAUUAAUUAUAAAAUAUUAAAUUAAAUUAAAUUAAAAAAAUAAAAGGGUAAAAAAGGGAGAGGUGGGAGUGGAUUCUCACUCCCACCUCCCCCAAUGGGAGUCCCACUCCCACUCCCCACUCCAAAAAUGGGUGGGGCUCACGGAGUAGGAUUCCCACUCCCUUCCCAUUUUAAGGAAGUAAACGCUGGAGUGGGAGGAAUCCAUACUCCUCACUCCCACUCCAGCAAGUAAACACAGCCUGAAUGUAGACAAAUAGUUAGCCUUACUUCACAGAAGUUUCAUUGCGUGUCGUUUUGCAUUGGUGCAUAAGAGUGAUCAAUUUAAUUGGAACGGCAAUGUUGAAGUUGAUAUGAUAAAAGUGAAAAUGACUAGACAUUCCGCAAAGUCUAAAAUUCAAGAAAUUGAAGAACCAAUCAAGUGAUCAAAUUCUCUCAUGUAAUUAAUUAUCAUCAAUUGGCUUGAAGGUCAUCAAGAAGGCAGUGGAUUGACAAAUUAAAUUAAAUUGUUCUUUCAUAAAUGGUAAAAGAAAUAUAAUCAAAGACCUAGGUCAUAUUUGGUAUUAAGGUAUUGUAAUUUUUAAGUUAUAACUACUUUGGAACAAAAAUGUAAUUAUAAAAUAAAAGUUGAGAAUGUAUAAUCAAUAUAACUUUUAACCAAUAUUUUUGCCAAAAAUAAUAAAGAUAUUAUAGGCUUCUCAUCUUACAGGUGUGGGAUCAAAUCAACUUAACUUUUAUACCACAAUUGGCAGUACUUAGUCUAAAUAAUUUUUUGCUAUAACUUAGGAAACUAUAACUACCCAACAUCGAUACCAAACAAGACCUUAGUCUGUAAGCAUCUAUCAUUCUUUCCUGUUUUUAAAAUACUAGUGGUAUUAAGUCUUGAACUUGUAAUCAAUCUAACGGUACAUAGUUUUUUCCAAGUUCCAUCAGCCCCAAAUUUUCCUUUGCUUCCUCUGUUUCUUCAGCUAAAUGCCACUAAAGAUAUCAAAAUUAUUGGCUGUUUGUUUCAGGAUUUUAGAUAUAUGUAUGAUACAUCCGCUGAGACACCGGGUGAAUUUUUUCCUGCUCAAAUACCGAAUAGUCACUAACCAAUAUGAAUUCUUGAAAAAUAACCAUAAAAAGAAAAUGAUUCUUUUAUUGAUAUUUCUCCAGAGAGAAAGAAGAAACAAAUAAUUAAGAGCUGAAAUUAUGUAAUAGUAAUUAUCAAGAAGUUAAUUACAGCAAUACAUAAUAUACAAGUUACCUACGGUUGAUCACUUGUAAUAUUAUGAUACAAUUAUCUACGGUUAAUCCAUGCAUGGUUCGCUCGUAAUUUAUUGUCUUUCUAUCUUUGUUUUUCAAUUAUUAUUAAUAUUUUAGUUUCUUUACUAAAAGAGAGGAAUUAUUUAGUCUAGAAUCCUAGAAUUCGGACGCAUGGUGGAUUCCAACAUAUAUGCAGUAGAUAAAUAAAGAGAGCAAAGUGUUGCGGACCGCCCAAUUCGCUAGCCCAAUUGCCACAAUUUCGGGCUAGAGAGCCAACACAAGGCCAAGGGUGCUAGCUUGGCCCAAUUCCGGAACAUUCUAGGCAACUCUAGCACAUGAGCUUGUAAAUACUCUAGAAUUCUCUAUAGAUUUCCAGCACAUGUAAAUUCUAGAUAGUUGGUAGAUUUCUCUAGAAUCUCUAGAGCUUGGCAAGCCUCCCCUAUAAAUAUGGGAUGGCAUUAGGCAUUUGUAUCCAACAAACACUACAACAAGCAUUGUAAUCUCUCUUUGUGCAAUACAAGUUUUCUCAUUCGGCUCCAUUGCUCUCUUCUCUAGUUCGAGAAGCUCUAGGCUUACUUAGCAACAUUCGGCAAAGUUGUCUAAGUGCCGCACGGGUUAGCUGCGCAAAAUACUCAUCCCGUGACAAGUGGUAUCAGAGCUAAGGUUUGCACGCACGCAAGUUAGCUCACGAAGCAAUGGCCAACCCUUCGAACGUAGCACAAGAGCGUGUUGUUGGUGUGGAUGUUCCACCGGAACCAAGCCGUGGCCGAGAGGGAGAACGCGCCCAAGGCAAGACUCGCGGCAAGUCCAAGGCCCCAUCCGUGGAUGCGUUGGAGCCUCGUGUGACUACUCUCGAGAUUGCAUUGUCCGCCGCUCAAGAAAGCCUCGAGGGAUUGGAAGAACGAGUGGAUGGUCUCGAGGGGGAAUAUGCCGAGGUCACGGUGGCAACCAAAGCUCUCAUCCAAGAGCAAGCGAACACUCUCCGAGGUGAGUUUCGUUCUUUUCAUGAUGAGUUGCUCAAACUUCAUAGUUUUGUUCAGGACGAACUACGCGCUGUCCGUGCGGAAGUGGAUGAAGUCCGCUCGGAUUGGGCAUGGCACAAGCGCACACUCUCCGCAAGUCCAACUUCCGCAAAUUCGAGUGAUGCGCGCCGCAUCGACGUGCCAAAGCCCGACACUUACGAUGGCACACGCAAUGCCACAAUCGUGACAAUUUCCUCUUUGGGCUUGAUCAAUACUUCGAUGCCAUGGGUGUCCGAGAUGAGGCAUCGAAAGUGGGCACUGCACCCACCUAUCUUAGAGGCGCUGCACAAUUAUGGUGGCGUCGCAAGCAUGGCGAGAUGGGCAAGGGCAUUUGCACCAUCGACACUUGGGCCGACUUCAAGCAAGAACUCCGAAAGCAGUUCGCCCCAAGCAAUGCGGAGAAGGAAGCGCGAGCGCGCUUACGUCGCCUCAAGCAAUCGGGUAGCAUUCGGGACUACAUCAAUGAGUUCACUACCCUUAUGUUGGAGAUAAGCGACAUGUCCGACAAGGAUUCGCUCUUCUACUUCCAAGAUGGCCUCAAGGAUUGGGCCAAGACUGAGGUCGAUAGGCGGGGUGUUCAAACACUUGACGACGCCAUCGCCGCUGCGGAAUCGCUCACCGAAUACUCUACCCAAUCCAAGGAAAAAAAGGCCAACCAAGGCAAAGGUGGGGGAGAGAGUCGCAAGGACAAGGGCAACAACCGCAAGGAUUGGGGGCAGAAAAAGCCGCCUAGCAACAAGAGCGGGCAAGGAAAAUCGGAGGGCAAGAAGGAGGCGCCAAAGCCGCGAAGCCCAUGCUUCAUAUGCAAUGGUCCUUAUUGGGUACGCGAUUGUCCGGAGAAGAAGUCGCUCAACGCUCUUGCUGCCCAACUUAAGAGCAACCCCACAAUGUCCACGGAAGAACCCCAACUCAGCAUGGGUUCUCUCCAACGUCUUGGCGCACUCAACCGCCAACAGCCCGCCCUCGUCAAGAAAGGGCUCAUGUACGUAAGCGCGAAGAUAAACGGUCAGUCCGUUCGUGCACUGCUAGACACGGGAGCAACGCACAAUUUCGUGUCCGUAGACGAGGCCAAGCGCUUAGGCCUCAAGGCCACCAAGGAAGGAGGCACCAUGAAAACGGUAAACUCACCCGCCAAGCCAAUUGCGGGAAUCGCACAAGGCGUGGACAUUAUGCUUGGAACAUGGAGCGGAAAGCUUGAUUUCUCCAUCGUUCCCAUGGACGACUUCAAGAUGGUCCUCGGCAUGGAAUUCUUCGACCAAGUCCAUGCCUUCCCGCUGCCCGCUACAAACUCCCUAAGCAUCCUCGACGGGAACAAAGCAUGCAUGGUACCCACGGAGCGAGGCAAGUCCGAGGAGAAGACACUCUCCGCCAUGCAAUUUAAAAGGGCUUUUAAGAAGGACCCAAGCUUCUUGGUCUCCAUCCGGGAACUAAACGAGGAAGGAAAUAGCGGAACAUCGCCAAGCCAAGUCCCUCCGCGAAUUCAAGCCGUCCUCAAUGAGUACAAGGACGUGAUGCCUCCGGAACUUCCAAAAAAGCUCCCACCUCGGCGAGAGGUAGAUCAUGCGAUCGAGCUGGAACAAGGCGCGAAGCCACCAGCCUUGGCGCCCUACCGCAUGGCGCCACCCGAACUAGAAGAGUUGCGGAGACAACUCAAAGACUUGCUGGACGCAGGCUACAUUCGCCCCUCAAAGGCCCCAUUCGGUGCACCGGUCCUCUUCCAAAAGAAAAAGGAUGGAUCGUUGCGGAUGUGCAUUGACUAUAGAGCGAUCAACAAGUAUCCGAUUCCAUUGAUUGCGGACUUGUUCGACCAGCUUGGCAAAGCGCGGUACUUCACCAAACUUGACUUGCGCUCCGGGUACUACCAAGUGCGCAUCGCCAAGGGAGACGAGCCGAAGACGGCUUGCACAACAAGGUACGGGUCUUUCGAAUUCCUUGUGAUGCCUUUUGGCCUUACUAAUGCACCCGCCACAUUUUGCACACUCAUGAACAAGGUACUCCAACCAUUCCUCGACCGCUUCAUGGUCGUGUACUUGGACGACAUCGUGGUGUAUAGCACCACACUCGAGGAGCAUGCCCAACAUUUGCGACAAGUCCUCCAAGUACUUCGAGACAACGAGCUCUUCCUCAAAUUAGAGAAGUGCUCGUUUGCCCAAGAAGAGGUAGAGUUCCUUGGCCACAAGAUUGCGGGUGGGAAGAUUAUGAUGGAGAACGCCAAGUAAAGGCCAUCCUCGAUUGGGAGCCUCCCUCGAAAGUGCCCGAGCUUCGCUCAUUCCUUGGGCUGGUGAAUUACUACCGCCGCUUCAUCAAGGGCUACUCAGCCAAGGCAGCACCCUUGACGGAUAUGCUCAAGAAAAACAGAACGUGGCAUUGGUCCGAAGAGUGCCAACGCGCAUUCGAAGAAUUGAAAAGAGCAAUUUCGGAGGAACCCGUCCUUGCUCUUCCGGACCACAUAAAGCCCUUCGAAGUCCAAACGGAUGCCUCGAAUUUCGCCAUAGGAGGAGUCCUCAUGCAAGAAGGCCACCCUAUAGCGUUCGAGAGUCGAAAGCUAAAUGAUACAGAAUGCCGCUACACGGUGCAAGAGAAGGAAAUGACAGCCAUCAUCCAUUGUCUAAGAGUGUGGCGACAUUACUUGCUAGGCUCUCACUUCACGAUCAUGACGGACAAUGUAGCGACAAGCUAUUUCCAAACACAAAAGAAGUUGAGUCCGAAGCAAGCACGGUGGCAAGACUUCCUAGCGGAAUUCGACUAUCGGCUCGAGUACAAACCGGGGAAAGCCAAUGUCGUUGCGGAUGCUCUAAGCCGCAAGGCCGAAUUGGCAACACUUAGCAUGAGCCAACCGAAGUCCGACCUUGUCUCACGCAUCAAGGAAGGCCUCCAACAAGAUCCAUUAGCAAAGGAUUUGCUGGAGAAGGUGCUCGAGGGAAAGACAAGGCGAUUUUGGCAAGAGGAAGGCAUCCUCCUCACCAAGGGAGAUCGGCUGUUCGUGCCAAGGUGGGGAAACUUGCGGAAGGAAGUAAUCAAGGAGUGCCACGACUCCAAGUGGGCUGGUCACCCAGGAAUCGAGCGCACCACCGCACUAGUUCAAGCCUCAUAUUUUUGGCCACACAUGAGGGAUGAUAUCGAGGCAUAUGUGCGAACUUGUCUUGUGUGCCAACAAGACAAGGUGGAUCAUCAACUUCCAGCGGGAUUAUUGGAACCGCUACCACUAGCAACAAGGCCAUGGAAAAGUGUCUCCAUGGACUUCAUCACAUCGCUGCCCAAGUCCGAAGGUUGCGGAAGCGUCAUGGUCGUUGUCGACCGAUACAGCAAGUACGCCACAUUCAUUGCCGCACCCGUCGAUUGCAAAGCGGACGAGGCAGCCUGCCUAUUCGUCAAGCACAUUGUGAAGCUUUGGGGAGUUCCAAGGAGCAUUGUGAGCGAUCGAGACCCUCGGUUCACUGGGCGUUUUUGGACGGAACUCUUCAAGAUGUUGGGGACCGAUCUCAAGUUCUCGACAAGCUUCCACCCACAAACGGAUGGGCAGACCGAGCGCAUUAAUGGCCUCCUCGAGAUGUACUUGAGGCAUUAUGUGAGCGCUCAUCAGCGGGAUUGGGCGAAGCUACUCGACAUCGCCCAAUUUUCUUAUAACUUGCAGCGAAGUGAGGCUACGGGCAAGAGUCCGUUCGAGAUCAUCAUGGGAUUUCAGCCAAUGACUCCCAACGCCAUAGCCUCGACUUACGGAGGGAAAAGCCCCGCGGCACACUAGCUCGCCCGCGAAUGGCAUGAGGAAGCGGACAUCACGCGAGCCUACCUCGACAAAGCCGCGAGGAAAAUGAAGAAAUGGGCGGACACAAGGAGACGGCAUGUUGAGUACAAGGAAGGUGAUCAAGUCAUGAUCAAGCUCUUACCCCAACAGUUCAAGACUUUGCGGAAAGUUCACAAGGGGUUAGUGAGGCGCUACAAGGGACCCUUCCGAGUUGUUCGACGUGUGGGCAACGUCUCGUAUCAACUCCAACUUCCUCCAAGACUCAAGAUCCAUCCGGUCUUCCAUGUGAGCCUUCUCAAACCAUAUCACGAAGACAUGGGAGACCCAAAUCGCGGAGAAUCAAGGCGCGCGCCAACUGCCGUUGUCACCGCGUUCGACAAAGAUGUGGAUUACAUCAUUGCGGACCGCGUGGUUUCAAGGAGGGGCGUGCCAGCACAUAGCGAGUACUUGGUGAAGUGGAAAAACCUCCCCGAGAGCGAAGCCACUUGGGAACGUGAAGAUGAUUUGUGGCAAUUCGCUGAGCACAUCCAACGCUUCAAGCACGAGAGCGCGACGAGGACGCCGCGAGCUUAGGUGGGGGAGGAUGUUGCGGACCGCCCAAUUCGCUAGCCCAAUGGCCACAAUUUCGGGCUAGAGAGCCAACACAAGGCCAAGGGUGCUAGCUUGGCCCAAUUCCGGAACAUUCUAGGCAACUCAUCCCGUGACAAAAGGCUGUUGGAUUGCAAUACAUAGAUUUUAAAUAAUUUGCUAAUAAAGUAUAUUUAUCUCAUCAUAAUUAGUUUUGGUGGUUUAUAAAUGAUGAAAGUGUAAAUUUUGAAUUUCACUUUCAACAUUUAGAACCUUAAUUUUCAACAUUAACUUUUUUUUGGUCAAAAAAGUUAAUUUUAUUUUUUGAAAAAAGUUAAAUUUAAAUUUUUGGGGAGAUAAUAAUAAAGUAAUUUCGAAAGAAAAAAUGAAAAGACAAGAAAAGACGUCCGUGACCGUUGGACCUUAACGGCUAGUUUGUCAAAAUUCCUCUUUAAACAACGAAACGACAGCACAACGGCUUUUGAAGGAUCAAAACUCAUUGCUCUGCGCCACGUGUCCUCCUAUGUUCUUCUUUGCGGUUACGUCACUCUGGUCUCAACAAUCUUUUUUUUUUUUUAACUUUCCGUCUAAAGAGCAAGCUCUCCUCAACUCACAGCCGUUAGAUUAGAUUCUUUUAACCAUUCGACGGUCAAAAGGUAACAGACUAAAAGUAAAGCGAACCGUUGUGGGAUCCGCUCCAAUGAUGAAACCCGAGAUUAAGUCGCUAUUCAUAUGUGGUGGUAGUGGAAAUAACAUUAAGUCGCUAUUCAUAGAAGUCAUAUCCUUAGAAUUUGUUAAAAAUUCACAAGUAAAAUCAAUCAUUUAACCGUUAAAUAUUUGAAAAUUGGCUUACAAAUAAACUUAUUUAUCUCCAUGUUUUGAAAAACAUAUUAUUGAACUUUCAACAAAACUUUGACAAUAUAUACUUUAUAAUUUGUAACACGACUUACUGAUUCAACAUGAAAAUAAUAUAAAUUAAGUUAAUAAAUUUAAAUUAAUUAAAAAUUACACAAGUAUUAAUCGUAUAAAAUAUGUGUCAUUUAUUUACUAACCUAUUUGGGUUUAGAUUUUUUUUUCAAUAAUACAUAUGAUAUCAUAAUUAUGUUAUUAACCAUAUAGGUCCUCAAUAAUAUUUAAAUAAAAAGUAUUAAAUGGGUGAAAAUUAAAACAAAAUCUAAUUUAAAGAUAAAUUAAUAAUACUUUUAUCAAUCGUGUGCUAAAUUAGUGUUUUAAGCUUUUUAGUUUCAUCGAACUCGUGCCGCCCAAAAUUUUCAUGAUGAAGAAUACGAUAAAUAAUCCAACCUAAACUACUACAAGUCGAUAACAUGAUCUCUGCCCAAAAUUUUCACUUAUGCCCUUUCAUUUAAAUUUCUGUAAACAUUAGGGAUCUUCUUGCUAUUAUCUCAAGCCUGCAAAUACCAAGAGUCAUUCGCAGUCUACUCAUAUUACAAAAACCAAAACAAGAUGUAAUUCGGGCGGGGAAAAAAAUUCAUAUCCCAAAAUCAAAAUUUCUCACACUUAAGCUCUAAUACAGAGAUGGCGCAAGUUAGUAAUUGCAGAGCUGUGGCUUUGAUUCUCUUCAUUGCAGCGCUUUUCUCAAUGACAGCUGUCGGCAGUGCACAGGAUGUCGACCUAGCGCCGUCGCCGAGCAUGGACGCCGGAGCUGCGUUCCCGGUGACUGUUUCUGGUGGUUUUGUUUGCUUCUCACUCUUCUUCUCAGUCAUUGCUCUACUAUUGCAGUAAUAGGUUCUUGAGAGACUCAGAUUUUUAUUUUAUUUUAUAUUUUAUAUUUUAUUAUUAGGAUAUUUAUUACUUUUGAAAUUUUUGGGUAUUUUUUUAAUUGCUAUUUGGUGGGAGUGCAUGUGUUUGAGUUGCUGUGAGUGAGAAUAUUAGUUUUAAUAAUUUAAUUAUUUUUCCUCUAAUCUUUGGUUAGGGUUGUUUUUUCUUUUUAUUUUUCUUAUGGUCAUGGUAUUGUAUUUUCUUUUAAUUAUAGAAAUUGGUAUUAUUAUUUAUCAUUUUGCAUCUCUCUUUAAUAUUCAUCGUGCUUAAUAUUGUUAGCUACGUUACGGCCAAAAACUUAGCCUCCAAAUUCUGCUUGUGCUAUUUGCUUGGCGACAAAACUAAAGAAGUCCCAGAGAUCAUUUCUAUUAUAAGUACUGUUAAUUUUAAGUAUAUUAACUUAGUACAAAAACUAGCUGAAGGAAAUUGACUUUAAAUCAGAAAAAAAAAAUCUAUUUAGGUGGUUAAAAUCUAAAGUUAAUUGAAAAUCUAUUGCAAAUUAAUAAUUCAAAAUCCGUGUCAUUAUUUCAAGGCAAAUAUCUCUCAAGAAAAAUUGAACUGGGAUAGUUUUAUGUAGUUUCAUACUUUCAAUUUCAAAUGGGCUGGUUUAAUAAUUAGACCAUCUACUUUCAUCAUACUUAUCUUGAAAUUCAAUUUUUUUCCUCACAUACUUUCGGAGCUCUUCCAAAAUCUUAAUGGCAUUCGAAGUCUUCAUCUUGAUUUGAAUUCAACCAUAUCUGUUUUUUUUUUUUUUUUUCAGGUUUCAUUUACACCAAAUUUUCUCCAUUAUCCAUUCGCAAAUGAAUAGUGAAUCACCUAGGAAUAUGCAAAACCUGUGAGGUUGAUACAAAGUAAUUAACAAAUCUUGGUUUGCAGACAAUUGAUUGUAAUCAGUUCCCAAACUCUCUUCAUUAUCUUCUGAAAGCAACUUGCAUCAGUUGAGGUUAACUGAUGAAGAAGAUACUAAAAAAUACAAACAGGAGCAAUAUAUUAAAAACAAAUGAAACAAACAAGAGGCAUUCAAAUUUAGAGUGCUAGGUAGCUCUCUCUGUGUGAGGCUAAUGGUCAAUUUUGGAAAAAUUGUUCGAAUAUUCAAAAUUGAUUGUUUGAAAUUAACUACAAACGUGUGUUUCGGUAAAUUAUUUUAUUUGAUUUCAGCCCGAGUUAUAUUAAUUUGGCACUUAAAAAAUUAAGAAAAAAAUAUAUUCUGGAUUAAACAAACUUGGAAAGAAGCUACACUUGUAAACAAAUUAUAUAGGCCCGAAAGACCUUGACUCCAAAAGAAAUCUGCUUUUCAAUCUUCAGAAAAUUUUGAUACAAGUUAUAAAUUUUCCACAAGAUAUCCCAAAGUGUAAUUUUCAAACAAUUGCUGUCGGUGCCGUCCAGCUCGUUUUAGACGUUUAGAAAUUGUCAGACCUUGUAUAAGGACAAUGACUUCUUGAGUCAUGAAUAAAAGACCAUUUAUGGAUUAAUAAAAGUCUGUGUGUGGCUCCAAAACCAAAUUUUACUGAUUAUUUGAUUAUUUUUAUUACCAGAUUGACACAAAUUACAAAUUUAUAGGGCAGAAAAUGACAAAACAAUAGUAAAAAAAAAAUGAUAGUACUAGUUAUUUUACAAGAGUAAUUCUGUCAAUUUCACUGAUGAUUGUUACAAUCAACUUAAGGUGAAAAAUUAAACAAAUUUAAAAUUUUGAAGUAUCUUUUAUAAUAAAGCAAGCUUAAAGUGGAUAACCGAUAAUUUUCCAAUCAUUAUUAGUCCAAAUCCUCCAUUUUUUCUUUUAUUCGGAAGCUACUCUACCAGGCCCCAGGGUUACUAGUAAAUUUGUGAUUGCUAAUCACUAAUAAAAAGAGAAGAACAGCAAAAAAAGCAAUGUUAUUGAGGAUAAUCAAAAUAUAAAUGUAGAUUUAAACCAAUCAUAUUCACAAAUCAAACUCCCACAAAAGUCUAAAGGCCCGAGAAGACUUUGACUCACUAUUGUGAUUGAAAAACGUGUGUGGUGAUUAAUGUACAGGAGGAGGAUUUAACACGGGAAGAAAAAUAGAAGACGACUAUGAGUCUGCUCAUGGUGUCCUUUUCCAUGGUUAAAAUGUUUAUAUAAACUUUGUAAGAGCUUGCUGAAUCCAAUAGCUCAAUCAACCGAAAAGUUAUAAGCAUGGAUCUGGCAUCCUCCAUUUUCAGAUUGGCGGCCCUUGUAUGGGUUGUAAUAUUUACUUGCGAUAACGUUGCUGUUAGAACUGGUACAUUUGUGACGGCAUCUGCUUUGUCACCCAUACAGUUAGAAACGAAAGCUUUACUCAAUACAGGCUGGUGGAACAGCAGCACCUGGACGACGGGCGACUACUCUUCGGAUCAUUGCAAGUGGGAAGGCAUCACUUGCAAUUCAGCUGGAAGCAUAAUCGAGCUAUACUUAUCAAGGGAUUAUGCUGACUUCAAUGGGCAACUUAGUCAAUUAAACUUCUCUUGCUUUCCGAACCUCGAAAAUCUGACAAUCCAGUCCUUUCCUCUUAAUGGAAGCAUACCACCAGAAAUUAGUGCUCUUUCGAAACUCCAACUGCUGGACUUGUCCUCGAACUGGCUGACAGGUAACCUACGAAAUUAACUUCAUUACCGCAUAUUAUUUGAGCAAUCAUAUUUAAAUGGAUAAGUUUGAGAGGAUACUGACAAACUUAACACGGUAAAAACACAUUUCUACCAUUGUUCUUAUUAAUAUCAACGUUUUAUUUCUUCAGUAUUUUUUUUUUCGUAAAUGGAUAACAUAAAUGUAUAACAGGUACUCUCCCUUCAGAGAUUGGGAAUUUGAGGAAUCUCGUCCAUCUAAAUAUAUCUGAUAACUACCUUACUGGACCUGUUCAUUCAACUCUAGGCCGUUUAACCAACUUGAGCUAUUUGGAUCUUAGUUCUAACCAAUUCAACAGCUCAAUUCCACUUGAGCUCACCCAGCUAACUAAACUUCUUCAUCUUGAUCUUUUUUCAAAUAAACUUUGUGGAAAAAUUCCUCCAGAGACUGGGAAUUUGAGGAAUCUUAUCCAUCUAGAUAUAUCUGAUAACGGCCUUACUGGACAUGUUCCUUCAACUCUUGGUCUUUUAACCAAUUUGAAUUAUUUGAGCUUCUCUUGUAACAUGCUCGGUGAUCAACUACCUCAGGAAAUUGGGAACCUAAAGAAUUUGAUCGAGUUGGAUGUGGGCGGUAACAGCCUAAUUGGACCGAUUCCUUCAACUCUAAGUCGUUUAACCAGCUUGAAAAUUUUGAUCCUCGCUCACAACCAGCUCAUUGGCCUACUACCUCAGGAAAUUGGGAAUCUGAAAAAUUUAAUCAAGUUGGACGUGGGCAAUAACGGCAUAAUUGGGCCUACUCCUUCAACUCUAGGUCUUUUGACCGAUUUGAGCCAUUUGGAUCUUAGUCGUAACCAAUUCAACAGCUCAAUUCCAAUUGAACUCACCCGUUUAACUCAACUUUUUCAUCUUGAUCUUUCCUCAAAUAAACUUUCUGGAAAAAUUCCUUCACAGAUUGCAAGUAUGGAGGAUCUAACCUGGUUGGACCUAUCAAAUAACAACAUAAAAGGUUCAAUUCCAAUUGAGCUCACCCGUUUAACUCAACUUUUCCAUCUUGAUCUUUCCUCAAAUAAUCUUUCUGGAAAAAUUCCUUCACAGAUAGCAAGUAUGGAGUAUCUAACCUGGUUGGACCUAUCAAAUAACAACAUAAAAGGUUCAAUUCCCGGUGAGAUCACCAAGUUAUCUGGACUUGAUUAUCUAAAUCUUUCCUCGAACAAACUUUCUGGCCCAGUACCGUUUUCAUAUGAACAACUCUCAAGCGUGCAUACGGUAGUAAGCAUCUCUCCUAACAAGGGUUUAUGCGGCAAUAUUCUUGAUCUUCCCUCAUGCGAUACAACCAAAUCUGCCACUCUCUUUGUUGAAAUUUUUCUUCCCCUCGCCAUAGUCCCCUCAGUUAUAGUCUUUGCAUGCUUACUAGUCAUCAAACGUAAGUACAAGAAACCAAAACUCAAGGCAAAAGCAACCAAUAGCAUAGAUGUAUUUUCAAUAUGGAAUUAUGAUGGUAGAAUUGUCUACGAGGAUCUGAUUAAAGCCACCGAAGAUUUUGACAUUAAAUAUUGCAUUGGUACCGGAGGCUAUGGCAGCGUCUACAAGGCACAGCUUCCCAACGGCAAGGUAUUUGCAUUGAAAA
rnacentral:lncRNA from 1 species